GAUUUUGGAGUUUACUUUGAACUGAAGGCCCACUACAGAAAAAUUUGGCCUUUGUCCAUUCCACUAUAGUUCUAGGGAAGUUUACAAUGAAGAUUUGGCCUAACAUGAAGACAUUAGGCCCUUUUAUGUUACCUCUAGGGAAAGUGACGUUUUUGCAAUGCCUUGGUGGAUUUCUUGAGGUCUCUACAUCUACAUGUGCUCUGCUAGGUUUUUAGGACACUUUGAUAAAUCCUUACCCUUCAUUUCUUAAAACCUUGAGCCUUGGCCCCAUUACAACCCUAAAUAAGACCUUCUUGAUCCUUAAGAUGGGACAGCCUUUGAUUUGUGGAGAUGAGUUACAAGAGUUGAACCUAUGGCUUGGGUCCAUCCGUGCAAGUAGUUGAUAUCCUUCAUGAGAUCUUUUCAAAAAAAAAAUUAUAUUCACAAAGUGCUUUUCGUUUCUUAUAUAUGUGAGCUAUUUGAUUGCCUCAAAAUAUUUUCUCUCACAUAUAAUUGAGUGAUUAUAAGCUUUUAAGCAUUGUCUUGAAUUCUAAGAGAAGAAAGAGUGGAUAUACCUUGUGAGGAUAUGAAUCAUACUUGUUCGAAGCAUGCUUAACAGAAACCAUCACCAUUAUUACAACCAAGUCCUACUUGUGUAUGUGAGAUUUCUGAGACAAAAAGUUGAAGGGCAAUAGAGUCAUUGUUUUUGUAGAGUCUUUAAUUUUCGUUGAGUGUUAGUGUGUGUCUUAGUGUGAUUUUGCUAAGGGACUAGCAAAAGCUAAGUGUGGGGGAAUUUGAUAGGAGCAUUUUAAUGCGACGUUUUAACUGCAUUUCCCUACAUUUCUUACGUUAUUUCCUUAUUAAAAUCCUGUUUAGGAAAGUUUCCAUUCUUUGAUUGGGAAAGUUCCUAUUUGUAGAAAGUUUAUAUUUUUGUAGUUUCUAUUUAUCAUUUUUAGUAAGUUGCCAUUUUUCAUUUUAGGAAAGUUUCUAUUUUUCUUAUUAGUUUCUAUUUUUUUAGGACCUCCAAGCAAGUGGAAAAUCUUGAGGAGGAAAAUCAAAGUUGCAACCAAGUGGAAAAUCUUG
rnacentral:lncRNA from 1 species